GCCAGGAGUGGUGGCAAAUGCCUAUAAUCAUUGCUAUUGGGAAGACUGAAGUUGGUGGUUUGCUUCAGCUCAAGAAUUCUGAACUGCAGUGAGGUAAGGCAAUUGGGAAUCCACAUGAAGUCUGGUACCAAUAUGGUUAGCCAAAGAGUGGGGAGUUACCAGACUGCCUAAAGAGGGGUAGACUAGUUCAGGUUGGAAAUAUCAGAUUAAAUCCCCUUUGCCAGUCAGCAGUGGAAUUGGAUCUAUGAGUAGCCACUGCACUUCUAUCCUGGCCAAAAUAGUGAGGCCUGGUCUCAA
rnacentral:SRP_RNA from 1 species